CAAUGUGAUAGCACUCUGUUUUUUGUACAUGCUGAAGGUUACAUUGUAUGUGCUGGCAGGUGGAUUUUGUAACAGUUGGACAAAGCCAGGAUUGCUUUACUAAUUAGCUUGUGCUAAGCUAAUUGUUUUAUAUUCAUCGUACAGACAGAGUCAUGUCAAUCUUCUCAUCUAACUAAAAUGUCAAGCUAUUCCAAUAACUUAGUGAAUAGUUAAAUGUUUUUAGUACUGGCAAAAACGACUUGCAAGUUGUGAUGGUGUUGUAUUGGAUUGCACUUCAUACAGGAUUAGUAGUAAAUGGACUAAAACAUAUAUACUGUCCUUAACACUUAACCCCAAGGAUGAAGGUGGUGUGUUUUGCUUUAAACUUGAUUGUGGUCGGACGUUUACUGUGAUGUGAUGUUCUACAGUAUUUUUGCUGUUUACACAAUGAGUAUUUAACGUGUUUCACAGUUGGAAGUUUUGUGGUUUUAAACUUGUUGUGUGGCUGUGAAUGACUUGCCACGAGAGGGUUUCUAUUCCAGAUCCAGCUCAUCACCAAAGAAGACAAAGGCAGAACAAAGUUAAAAAUGUAACACUACUUCAAUAGAUAAUACUGCCAGUUUAUUAAAUGGAGUGUACAAAA